AACGGCCGUACCAUGCUGAAUAUGCCGGUUCUCGUUAGAUCACCGAAGUCAAGCAUCAUUGGGCGCGGUCAGUACUUGGGUGGGUGACCACCUGGGAACACCGCGUGCCGUU